rnacentral:SRP_RNA from 1 species
GCCGAGCUCAGUUGCGAGAGCUUGUAAUCCGAAUGGGGGCAUUAAGAUGAUGUGGACGCUGUUGUAGUGUUGCGGGCCUGGUCUGGGUGUGCUACUGCUGGCCUGCCCGUUCCAAGUUGUGUAGUGGGCCGCUUGGGGCCUAUGCGAAAGCUGGGCCUCACGGUCCAUAAUGUGGGAGGCACAGCGUGAGGCUGGCUUCACAGAGCAGCGACAACUGCCCGCUUCCAACGGUGGAAGGAUAACAGGCCGCUGCACUCCUUGGCCGCUUGGGCCUCGCAGCCUACUCUAGUGGACCAUCACUUUU